CAAGCGUCCACUCACCGAGUGGUCGCAGAGCCUCUCUUGGUUCACCACUUGAGCUUCCUUCCCAGCUCGCUCCUCAGCCUGCCGAAAAGAUCAUCGAAAUCUAUCAAGUGGUGGUUGACAUUUUCAUUGUGUUGACCUUUUUCAUACAACAACAAAUUAAGCUUGAAAAUAAGAAUGAGGAAGAAAGAUGCCUCGAGGCAAACACACGUCAGGAGACCCAACCACAAGCCUGGCGAGGUGGGCGGCAAACAUGAGUGCGACCCCUAUUGGCAGGCCG